rnacentral:rRNA from 1 species
GAUGAACGCUGGCGGCGUGCCUAAUACAUGCAAGUCGAGCGAACAGACGAGGAGCUUGCUCCUCCCACGUUAGCGGCGAACGGGUGAGUAACACGUGGAUAACCUACCUAUAAGACUGGGAUAACUUCUGGAAACGGCAGCUAAUACCGGAUACUAUAUUGAACCGCAUGGUUCCAUCGUGAAAGACGGUUUUGCUGUCACUUAUAUCUCGACCCGCGCCGCAUUAGCUAGUUGGUAAGCUAACGGCUUACCAAGGCAACGAUGCGUAGCCGACCUGAGAGGGGGGUCGGCCACACGGGAAGGGAGACACGGACCAGAGGCCUACGGGAGGGAGCAGAAGGGAAUCGUCCGCAAUGGGCGAGAACAUUACGCAGUAGCGCCGCGUGAGAGAUGAAAGUGUUGGGAUCGGAAAACUCUGUUAUGAGGGAAGAACAAAUGUGAGAGUAACUAUGCACGAAUUGACGGUACCUAAACAGAAAGCCCCGGCUAACUACGUG